GGAAGUCUGGUGCCAGCAGCCGCGGUAAUUCCAGCUCCAAUAGCGUAUAUUAAAGUUGUUGCAGUUAAAAAGCUCGUAGUUGAAUUUCGGGAUCAGUACGCCGGUCGUGCCUUCGGUAUGCACUGGUGUCACUGGUUUAUCCCUUCUGAAGAACCAUCAUGCCAUUCAGUUGGUGUGGCGGGGAAUCAGGACUGUUACUUUGAAAAAAUUAGAGUGUUUAAAGCAGGCUCGCGCUUGAAUACAUUAGCAUGGAAUAAUGAAAUAGGACGUUUGACCCUAUUUUGUUGGUUUCUAGGAUCGACGUAAUGAUUAAUAGGGAUAGUUGGGGGCAUUAGUAUUCAAUUGUCAGAGGUGAAAUUCUUGGAUUUAUUGAAGACUAACUACUGCGAAAGCAUUUGCCAAGGAUGUUUUCAUUAAUCAAGAACGAAAGUUAGGGGAUCGAAGACGAUCAGAUACCGUCGUAGUCUUAACCAUAAACUAUGCCGACUAGGGAUCGGAUGAUGUUAAUUUUUUAAUGACUCAUUCGGCGCCUUACGGGAAAC
rnacentral:rRNA from 1 species